UUCACGAUUCUUCCGCUGCUUCUAACGAAAACCACCUUAAAGGAAAGUCAUUCAUCAGGUACAUACACCUAUCGCGAUGACUUUGAUUGUUCUUUACGCACUAGGUUAUGUGCAUUCAUCAAGUCAUCUUUACUUCAUUUUUGGUAUCCCUAUUAUUCUGAUCGGAAUCUCCUAAUCAAAUAUAGUUAGUUUCUAGAUUUGUUAGCGAUCAGACUUAAAUAGAAAAUUACUCGAUCUGUUGCUAUCCCGCUACUUCCCGUGCCGUUCUCUCCAACUGAUUAAUGAAAUGGAAUCUCAGGUUUGAGGAUGUCACCUUUGUGAGAACGAAAGAGGCUGCCAGUAAACAGCACGCGAUGCAGCAGAAUACUGGAUUGGUGGAAGCAAUUGUACUGGAGGUUAAGGAUAGGGAAAGGAUUGGAGGUGGAUUUCUGAAGACCGAUGUGAUCUGCUGUAAUCCUACUCUUGCUGGCACGGGAGCCUGCAAGCUAGGUGAGGUGAUUAUCCAGAAAAACUCGGAGAACCCCGAGUGGCCCAAGCGCAUUCAGACUUCGUUUGCUGGACAGAGUGAGGAAGUUAAAAUGCAACCUGAAAUGGUUGAAAUCAAUAGUACUGGAAUGUAUUACCUCUAUU
rnacentral:lncRNA from 1 species